AUUGAACGCUGGCGGCAGGCCUAACACAUGCAAGUCGAGCGGAUGAAGGGAGCUUGCUCCUGGAUUCAGCGGCGGACGGGUGAGUAAUGCCUAGGAAUCUGCCUGGUAGUGGGGGAUAACGUCCGGAAACGGGCGCUAAUACCGCAUACGUCCUGAGGGAGAAAGUGGGGGAUCUUCGGACCUCACGCUAUCAGAUGAGCCUAGGUCGGAUUAGCUAGUUGGUGGGGUAAAGGCCUACCAUGGCGACGAUCCGUAACUGGUCUGAGAGGAUGAUCAGUCACACUGGAACUGAGACACGGUCCAGACUCCUACGGGAGGCAGCAGUGGGGAAUAUUGGACAAUGGGCGAAAGCCUGAUCCAGCCAUGCCGCGUGUGUGAAGAAGGUCUUCGGAUUGUAAAGCACUUUAAGUUGGGAGGAAGGGCAGUAAGUUAAUACUUUGCUGUUUUGACGUUACCAACAGAAUAAGCACCGGCUAACUUCGUG
rnacentral:rRNA from 1 species